CAAGUCGAACGAUGAACCACUUCGGUGGGGAUUAGUGGCGAACGGGUGAGUAACACGUGGGCAAUCUGCCCUUCACUCUGGGACAAGCCCUGGAAACGGGGUCUAAUACCGGAUAACACUUCCACUCUCCUGAGUGGUGGUUAAAAGCUCCGGCGGUGAAGGAUGAGCCCGCGGCCUAUCAGCUUGUUGGUGAGGUAAUGGCUCACCAAGGCGACGACGGGUAGCCGGCCUGAGAGGGCGACCGGCCACACUGGGACUGAGACACGGCCCAGACUCCUACGGGAGGCAGCAGUGGGGAAUAUUGCACAAUGGGCGAAAGCCUGAUGCAGCGACGCCGCGUGAGGGAUGACGGCCUUCGGGUUGUAAACCUCUUUCAGCAGGGAAGAAGCGAAAGUGACGGUACCUGCAGAAGAAGCGCCGGCUAACUACGUGCCAGCAGCCCGGGGGUAAUUCA
rnacentral:rRNA from 1 species